AUUGAACGCUGGCGGCAGGCCUAACACAUGCAAGUCGAGCGGAUGAAGGGAGCUUGCUCCUGUAUUCAGCGGCGGACGGGUGAGUAAUGCCUAGGAAUCUGCCUUGUAGUGGGGGAUAACGUCCGGAAACGGGCGCUAAUACCGCAUACGUCCUGAGGGUGAAAGUGGUGGAUCUUCGGACCUCACGCUAUCAGAUGAGCCUAGGUCGGAUUAGCUAGUUGGUGGGGUAAAGGCCUACCAAGGCGACGAUCCGUAACUGGUCUGAGAGGAUGAUCAGUCACACUGGAACUGAGACACGGUCCAGACUCCUACGGGAGGCAGCAGUGGGGAAUAUUGGACAAAGGGCGAAAGCCUGAUCCAGCCAUGCCGCGUGUGUGAAGAAGGUCUUCGGAUUGUAAAGCACUUUAAGUUGGGAGGAAGGGAAGUAAGUUAAUACCUUGCUGUUUUGACGUUACCAACAGAAUAAGCACCGGCUAACUUCGUG
rnacentral:rRNA from 1 species